CUUUUCAGAAAAAAAAAAAUUUCUUUCAACAACUAUUCCGUUUCAAAUUUCUAAAACACGUGAUAUAGGUACUCUAAAAAUAUAAAUAAUUAAUUAAUGAUAAUGAUGGCAUGGUGUGAUUGUUAAGCCAAACUCUUUUUUAUUUUAUACUGAAAAAUUAUUUAAGACAGUAUUUUUUUUAGAGAGAAAAAGAUAGCAUGGUAUUUAUUUUUGUUUGAAAAUAUAAAAGAAUUAUACUUCGAACUUGAAACAUCGGAUAUCAACCGGCAAGUCCUUUGCUACUUACAUUAGGAACGGUUGAUUUUAAGGUAAUGUUUUGAUUUGAGUAUAAGGGGCUGUUUGGUUGCAUGUAUUUUCAACUGCAGUGCAGUAGAAAAUGCAUGCAUCAAUUAAAAUUUUGUUUGGUUUGAUGUAAUUAGGCCCAAUUAUUACAGUUGCAUCUGGACGAGAAGACCCAAUUGGCUACAGUACCAACUGCAGCAGUUGGGCAGGAGUUGGCUCACCCAUUAAAUAAAUAAAUAAAGUGUGAAUUUUUUUCAUACCCUUUUUUUUUUCUUUUGUUCUUCGAAGAAUGCAUAUUCAUGAAAUCUGUUAGGAUUUAAUAAUAUCUGUUAGGGUCAAUAAAUUUUUUUUCAUAUUCUUCUUUUUUUUUCCAGUUUACUAGUUUAAUAAUGUUUUAAUUUUUGUUUUGACCAAAUCUGUAAUAUAUUUGCAUUUAAAAUUUAUUAAAUUCAUACAUAAGUUUAUAAUAUAUAAAUUAUAUAUAGAUAUAAAAGUCUUAAUUAAUAAUUAAAAUAUGAUUACGUUAUGUUCGGAAGAGAUAAUCUCACCUUUCUAUUUAAAAGCUGAUAGAAUUUAUAAAUACAAAUUUCAAUUGCAGCCUACCAAACAGAAAAAAUAUAACUGUAGCAGUUGCAAUUGUAUAAAACCAAACAGACUAGGUAUAGUUAUGACUGUAUUAUUUACAACUGUAUGUAUUUUCAAUUAUAUUAUUUUUAUAAUUACAUCCAAUCAAAUAGUCCCUAAGUGGAGAACAGAGGG
rnacentral:lncRNA from 1 species